rnacentral:rRNA from 1 species
UACGGAGGGUGCGAGCGUUGUCCGGAAUCACUGGGCGUAAAGGGCGCGUAGGCGGCCUGAUAAGUAGGGGGUGAAAUCCUGCGGCUUAACCGCAGGGCUGCCUUCUAAACUGUCAGGCUAGAGCACGGUAGAGGCAGAUGGAAUUCCCGGUGUAGCGGUGGAAUGCGUAGAUAUCGGGAGGAACACCAGUGGCGAAGGCGACUUCCUGGCCUGUUCUUGACGCUGAGGCGCGAAAGCUAGGGUAGCAAACGGG